rnacentral:rRNA from 1 species
GACGAACGCUGGCGGCGUGCUUAACACAUGCAAGUCGAACGGAAGGGCCCUGCUUUUGUGUGGUGCUCGAUUGGCGAACGGGUGAGUAACACGUGAGUAAACUGCCCUUGUCUGUGGGAUAACAUCAGGGAACAGGGGCUAAUACACGAGAGGAUCUCCUGCUGCAUGUUGGUGGUUGGAAAGUUUCGGCGGUUGGGGAUGGAUUCGCGGGUUAUGAGCUUGAUUGUGGGGUAGGGGAUUUCCAGGGCUUUGAAGGGUAGCCGGCCUGAGAGGUCUGCCGGGCACCUUGGGCCUGAGAUACGGCCCAGACUGCUACGGGCGGCAGAAGUGGAGAGUAUUGCACAAUGGGCGGGCGUCUGAGGCAGCAGCGCCGGGUGCGGAAUGCCGGCUUUCGGGUUGUAAACAGCUUUCGCAUGUGCCGAAGCGUGAGUGACGGUACUGGGUAAAAAAGCACCGGCUAACUACGUG